GGAUAACUUACCCUUAGGACUGGGAUAACUCUGGGAAACUGGGGAUAAUACUGGAUAUUAGGCUAUGCCUGGAAUGGUUUGCCUUUGAAAUGUUUUUUUCGCCUAAGGAUAGAUCUGCGGCUGAUUAGGUCGUUGGUGGGGUAAUGGCCCACCAAGCCGAUGAUCGGUACGGGUUGUGAGAGCAAGAGCCCGGAGAUGGAACCUGAGACAAGGUUCCAGACCCUACGGGGUGCAGCAAGCGCGAAACCUCCGCAAUGUACGAAAGUGCGACGGGGGGAUCCCAAGUGUCAUGCUUUUUUGUAUGACUUUUCAUUAGUGUAAAAAGCUUUUAGAAUAAGAGCUGGGCAAGACCGGUGCCAGCCGCCGCGGUAACACCGGCAGCUCGAGUGGUAGCUGUUUUUAUUGGGCCUAAAGCGUUCGUAGCCGGUUUGAUAAGUCUUUGGUGAAAGCUUGUAGCUUAACUAUAAGAAUUGCUGGAGAUACUAUUAGACUUGAAGUCGGGAGAGGUUAGAGGUACUACCGGGGUAGGGGUGAAAUCCUAUAAUCCUGGGAGGACCACCUGUGGCGAAGGCGUCUAACUGGAACGAUCUUGACGGUGAGUAACGAAAGCCAGGGGCGCGAACCGGAUUAGAUACCCGGGUAGUCCUGGCCGUAAACGAUGUGGACUUGGUGUUGGAAUGGCUUUGAGUUGUUCCGGUGCCGAAGGGAAGCUGUUAAGUCCACCGCCUG
rnacentral:rRNA from 1 species